rnacentral:rRNA from 1 species
AUUGAACGCUGGCGGCAGGCCUAACACAUGCAAGUCGAGCGAGCGGCGGACGGGUGAGUAAUGCCUAGGAAUCUGCCUGGUGAAGGGGGAUAACUACUGGAAACGGUAGCUAAUACCGCAUACCAUCGGAUGUGCCCAGAUGGGAUUAGCUAGUGGGUGGGGUAAAGGCUCACCUAGGCGACGAUCCCUAGCUGGUCUGAGAGGAGGACCAGCAACACUGGAACUGAAACACGGUCGAGACUCCUACGGGAGGCAGCAGUGGGGAAUAUUGCACAAUGGGCGCAAGCCUGAUGCAGCCAUGCCGCGUGGAUGAAGAAGGCCUUCGGGUUGUAACGUACUUUCAGCGGGGAGGCGUUACCCGCAGAAGAAGCACCGGCUAACUCCGUGCCAGCAGCCGCGGUAAUAC